rnacentral:rRNA from 1 species
UACGAAGGGUGCAAGCGUUACUCGGAAUUACUGGGCGUAAAGCGUGCGUAGGCGGUUUGUUAAGUCUGUCGUGAAAGCCCCGGGCUCAACCUGGGAAUGGCGAUGGAUACUGGCGAGCUAGAAUACGGUAGAGGAGAGUGGAAUUCCCGGUGUAGCAGUGAAAUGCGUAGAGAUCGGGAGGAACAUCAGUUGCGAAGGCGGCUCUCUGGACCAGUACUGACGCUGAGGCACGAAAGCGUGGGGAGCAAACAGG